UGUGAGCUCGAUGAGUAGGGCGGGACACGUGGUAUCCUGUCUGAAUAUGGGGGGACCAUCCUCCAAGGCUAAAUACUCCUGACUGACCGAUAGUGAACCAGUACCGUGAGGGAAAGGCGAAAAGAACCCCGGCGAGGGGAGUGAAAAAGAACCUGAAACCGUGUACGUACAAGCAGUGGGAGCCUCUUAAUGGGGUGACUGCGUACCUUUUGUAUAAUGGGUCAGCGACUUAUAUUCUGUAGCAAGGUUAACCGAAUAGGGGAGCCGAAGGGAAACCGAGUCUUAACUGGGCGCUAAGUUGCAGGGUAUAGACCCGAAACCCGGUGAUCUAGCCAUGGGCAGGUUGAAGGUUGGGUAACACUAACUGGAGGACCGAACCGACUAAUGUUGAAAAAUUAGCGGAUGACUUGUGGCUGGGGGUGAAAGGCCAAUCAAACCGGGAGAUAGCUGGUUCUCCCCGAAAGCUAUUUAGGUAGCGCCUCGUGAAUUCAUCUCCGGGGGUAGAGCACUGUUUCGGCAAGGGGGUCAUCCCGACUUACCAACCCGAUGCAAACUGCGAAUACCGGAGAAUGUUAUCACGGGAGACACACGGCGGGUGCUAACGUCCGUCGUGAAGAGGGAAACAACCCAGACCGCCAGCUAAGGUCCCAAAGUCAUGGUUAAGUGGGAAACGAUGUGGGAAGGCCCAGACAGCCAGGAUGUUGGCUUAGAAGCAGCCAUCAUUUAAAGAAAGCGUAAUAGCUCACUGGUCGAGUCGGCCUGCGCGGAAGAUGUAACGGGGCUAAACCAUGCACCGAAGCUGCGGCAGCGACACUAUGUGUUGUUGGGUAGGGGAGCGUUCUGUAAGCCUGUGAAGGUGGCCUGUGAGGGUUGCUGGAGGUAUCAGAAGUGCGAAUGCUGACAUAAGUAACGAUAAAGCGGGUGAAAAGCCCGCUCGCCGGAAGACCAAGGGUUCCUGUCCAACGUUAAUCGGGGCAGGGUGAGUCGACCCCUAAGGCGAGGCCGAAAGGCGUAGUCGAUGGGAAACAGGUUAAUAUUCCUGUACUUGGUGUUACUGCGAAGGGGGGACGGAGAAGGCUAUGUUGGCCGGGCGACGGUUGUCCCGGUUUAAGCGUGUAGGCUGGUUUUCCAGGCAAAUCCGGAAAACCAAGGCUGAGGCGUGAUGACGAGGCACUACGGUGCUGAAGCGACAAAUGCCCUGCUUCCAGGAAAAGCCUCUAAGCAUCAGGUAACAUCAAAUCGUACCCCAAACCGACACAGGUGGUCAGGUAGAGAAUACCAAGGCGCUUGAGAGAACUCGGGUGAAGGAACUAGGCAAAAUGGUGCCGUAACUUCGGGAGAAGGCACGCUGAUAUGUAGGUGAAGCGACUUGCUCGUGGAGCUGAAAUCAGUCGAAGAUACCAGCUGGCUGCAACUGUUUAUUAAAAACACAGCACUGUGCAAACACGAAAGUGGACGUAUACGGUGUGACGCCUGCCCGGUGCCGGAAGGUUAAUUGAUGGGGUUAGCGGCAACGCGAAGCUCUUGAUCGAAGCCCCGGUAAACGGCGGCCGUAACUAUAACGGUCCUAAGGUAGCGAAAUUCCUUGUCGGGUAAGUUCCGACCUGCACGAAUGGCGUAAUGAUGGCCAGGCUGUCUCCACCCGAGACUCAGUGAAAUUGAACUCGCUGUGAAGAUGCAGUGUACCCGCGGCAAGACGGAAAGACCCCGUGAACCUUUACUAUAGCUUGACACUGAACAUUGAGCCUUGAUGUGUAGGAUAGGUGGGAGGCUUUGAAGUGUGGACGCCAGUCUGCAUGGAGCCGACCUUGAAAUACCACCCUUUAAUGUUUGAUGUUCUAACGUUGGCCCGUAAUCCGGGUUGCGGACAGUGUCUGGUGGGUAGUUUGACUGGGGCGGUCUCCUCCUAAAGAGUAACGGAGGAGCACGAAGGUUGGCUAAUCCUGGUCGGACAUCAGGAGGUUAGUGCAAUGGCAUAAGCCAGCUUGACUGCGAGCGUGACGGCGCGAGCAGGUGCGAAAGCAGGUCAUAGUGAUCCGGUGGUUCUGAAUGGAAGGGCCAUCGCUCAACGGAUAAAAGGUACUCCGGGGAUAACAGGCUGAUACCGCCCAAGAGUUCAUAUCGACGGCGGUGUUUGGCACCUCGAUGUCGGCUCAUCACAUCCUGGGGCUGAAGUAGGUCCCAAGGGUAUGGCUGUUCGCCAUUUAAAGUGGUACGCGAGCUGGGUUUAGAACGUCGUGAGACAGUUCGGUCCCUAUCUGCCGUGGGCGCUGGAGAACUGAGGGGGGCUGCUCCUAGUACGAGAGGACCGGAGUGGACGCAUCACUGGUGUUCGGGUUGUCAUGCCAAUGGCACUGCCCGGUAGCUAAAUGCGGAAGAGAUAAGUGCUGAAAGCAUCUAAGCACGAAACUUGCCCCGAGAUGAGUUCUCCCUGACUCCUUGA
rnacentral:rRNA from 1 species